rnacentral:rRNA from 1 species
AGGGUGACAGGUGGUGCAUGGUGUCGUCAGCUCGUGUCGUGAGAUGUUGGGUUAAGUCCCGCAACGAGCGCAACCCUCGACCUUAGUUGCCAGCAUUCAGUUGGGCACUCUAAGGUGACUGCCGGCUAAAAGUCGGAGGAAGGUGGGGAUGACGUCAAAUCAUCAUGCCCCUCAUGACCUGGGCUACACACGUGCUACAAUGGGCGGUACAAAGGGUCGCGAACCCGCGAGGGGGAGCCAAUCCCAAAAAGCCGCUCUCAGUUCGGAUUGCAGGCUGCAACUCGCCUGCAUGAAGCCGGAAUCGCUAGUAAUCGCGGAUCAGCAUGCCGCGGUGAAUACGUUCCCGGGCCUU